GUUAAAUGGUGUAUAUUUAAUUGGAUCUGCUCAGUGAUAAAUAGCCGCAAUUUUUUUUGUGCAAAGGUAGCGUAAUAAAUUGUCUUUUAAUUGAAGGCUUGUAUGAAGGGUGUAACUAGGUAAGGAGUUUUGUGUAUUGAAUUUAAGUUAAUGAUAAGAAUGUGAUUAUAAAUUUCUGGGACGAGAAGACCCUAAAAGCUUCUAAUGUUUUUUGGUUGGGGAGAUUGGUGAAUUAUAUAACUUUAUUAAGUUACUUUAGGGAUAACAGCGUGAUUAGAGUUUGAAGAUCUAAUUUGGACUUUGGUUUGCGACCUCGAUGUUGAAUUAAAAGGUGGAGGGAUUUUAGUCUGUUCGACUAUUAAAUAUUUACA
rnacentral:rRNA from 1 species